rnacentral:rRNA from 1 species
GUUUAUGGCCAUACCACCCUGAAUGCACCGGAUCUAAUCUGAUCUCAGAAGCUAAGCAGGGUCAAGCCUGGUUAGUACUUGGAUGGGGGUAAGAGUGGUCGGGAGAGAAGUAGUAGGCACGUUGGCA